UUACGGCUAUAUCACGUUAAAACACCAGUUCUCGUACGAUCAGAGAAGUUAAGCAACAUCGAGCCUAAGUAAGUACCUCGAUGGGUAACCUUGUGG